rnacentral:other from 1 species
CAACCUCUGCGGUGUACGAGACUACCUAAACUAUUUCCCGCCUUAAUGAUAAUAUAUAGGGAGCUCGACUGCUUGGCGUGGCUGUCAGGCCGUCUUGAAUGGAAGACAAAAGCGUUGAGAGGAGCACCCACCUUGUUUUAGGAGGUCGAGAAAUCAACUCGGUUAGACGGCAUAUGUGGGGGUUGU